rnacentral:rRNA from 1 species
UGGGGAAUAUUGCACAAUGGGCGCAAGCCUGAUGCAGCCAUGCCGCGUGUAUGAAGAAGGCCUUCGGGUUGUAAAGUACUUUCAGCGGGGAGGAAGGGAGUAAAGUUAAUACCUUUGCUCAUUGACGUUACCCGCAGAAGAAGCACCGGCUAACUCCGUGCCAGCAGCCGCGGUAAUACGGAGGGUGCAAGCGUUAAUCGGAAUUACUGGGCGUAAAGCGCACGCAGGCGGUUUGUUAAGUCAGAUGUGAAAUCCCCGGGCUCAACCUGGGAACUGCAUCUGAUACUGGCAAGCUUGAGUCUCGUAGAGGGGGGUAGAAUUCCAGGUGUAGCGGUGAAAUGCGUAGAGAUUUGGAGGAAUACCGGUGGCGAAGGCGGCCCCCUGGACGAAGACUGACGCUCAGGUGCGAAAGCGUGGGGAGCAAACAGG